rnacentral:rRNA from 1 species
GGCAGGCCNNACACAUGCANGUCGAGGGGUAACGAUGUCUUCGGACAGGCGACGACCGGCGCACGGGUGCGUAACGCGUAUGCAACCUACCUUUAACUGGAAGAUAGCCCCGAGAAAUCGGGAUUAAUACUCCAUAAUAUUUAUGAGUGGCAUCACUUAUAACUUAAAGCUCCGGCGGUUAAAGAUGGGCAUGCGUGACAUUAGUUUGUUGGUGAGGUAACGGCUCACCAAGACUACGAUGUCUAGGGGUUCUGAGAGGAUUAACCCCCACACUGGUACUGAGACACGGACCAGACUCCUACGGGAGGCAGCAGUGAGGAAUAUUGGGCAAUGGACGCAAGUCUGACCCAGCCAUGCCGCGUGAAGGAUGAAGGCCUUAUGGGUUGUAAACUUCUUUUAUACGGGAAUAAACUUAGCUAUGUAUAGUUAACUGCAGGUACCGUACGAAUAAGCACCGGCUAACUCCGUGCCAGCAGCCGCGGUAAUACGGAGGGUGCAAGCGUUAUCCGGAUUUAUUGGGUUUAAAGGGUCCGCAGGCGGACUAAUAAGUCAGUGGUGAAAUCUCUCGGCUCAACCGAGAAACUGCCAUUGAUACUGUUGGUCUAGAGUGUAGUUGGCGUAGGCGGAAUAUAUCAUGUAGCGGUGAAAUGCUUAGAUAUGAUAUAGAACACCGAUCGCGAAGGCAGCUUACGAAACUACAACUGACGCUCAGGGACGAAAGCGUGGGGAGCGAACAGGAUUAGAUACCCUGGUAGUCCACGCCGUAAACUAUGAUUACUCGUUGUCGGCGAUACACAGUCGGUGGCUAAGCGAAAGCGAUAAGUAAUCCACCUGGGGAGUACGAUCGCAAGGUUGAAACUCAAAGGAAUUGACG